rnacentral:ncRNA from 1 species
AAUACGGCGUUGAAGAGGACUAUUAAAUCUUUAAACACAUCCAGAGAGGAAACCGGCGGUGAGAGGUUUCCGUGUCAAGGAAGAUUGAACCUGCCUUGGAGCCAUGCAUGAAAGUGCAUCGUAGAACCGGCGUUAACGGAUAUAAGAGUGAACCGCAUCAGGUGCCGAAUGGAAUCAGAGGCAUCUUGUCCGGUUAAAUUGGGUGGUACCGCCGAAGAAUUUCAGCCAUUCGGUCCCUUCG